UAUUGAAUGUGAAGCAGAAUGUUAUAAUUCUCCGAUUUUUUUAUUACUUUUAAUUAAAAACUACACGAAUCGCAUCAUCUGAUUACUGAUUGGAGAUUUGGCGGAAACAAUUGACUAUUAGACAGUGUGUUGAAUUGAUCCUUCAAUGACAUUGCGAUGCUCUACGUUGCAUACUGCGUUAUUGUGUUCACGUUGUCACAUUCCUCGCAUACUUACAAAGCAAAUAUUCAUGGCCAAUAUGAUAUGACUUCAUGGGUACAACCAAUCCAAGAACCUCAUAAGGUAAAGCAUGAAAUCAUAGAUGCAGAGGAAUUGAAUAAUAGAUACUGGCAACACGGGAGAUAUGCGUGGCUCAAUAUUAUAAUGGGAAUUAUUUUCCGUCCUAAAAUCCCUAUCAGGCCGCCUAAAUUCCCUAUUAGGCCGCCUAAAAUCCCUAUCAGGCCGCCUAAAAUAAGGCCGCCAAAAAUAAAGCCGCCACCAAAAAAGCCGUCGGCUACAAAACCACCGGUCAAACCAACUAAGAAACCCCCUAAAGCGACGACCAAAAAACCUAAAAAAGGCGACAACAGCAAUGACAUCGACAUUGACGUCGAUAUUCGUGUUAAUAGUACCAAUAACUGUGAGUGUGUUUGUCCACCCGAUGAGGUGCCUUCCGGUUCAGAGGAACCCUCCAGCCCGGAGGAACUAUCCAGUCUGGGGGAACCGUAUCCCAGCUACUAACUACUAAGACCAAAACAACUGCGAUUGAACUCAUUACAAUGUUUGCCAAUGUCCUUUUAAUAUCAAAGGAUUAUUUUAAAUGCACUAUAAAUUAAUAUUAUUAUUCAUUAAU